rnacentral:rRNA from 1 species
UGCCAGCAGCCGCGGUAAUACGGAGGGAGCGAGCGUUAAUCGGAAUUACUGGGCGUAAAGCGCGCGUAGGCGGCUUUGUAAGUCGGAUGUGAAAGCCCUGGGCUCAACCUGGGAAUGGCAUUCGAUACUGCAGAGCUAGAGUAUGGUAGAGGGAAGUGGAAUUUCCGGUGUAGCGGUGAAAUGCGUAGAUAUCGGAAGGAACACCGGUGGCGAAGGCGGCCAACUGGGCGAGUACUGACACUGAGGUACGAAAGCGUGGGUAGCAAACAGGAUUAGAUA